rnacentral:rRNA from 1 species
AGCGAACGUUAGCGGCGCGCCUAACACAUGCAAGUCGCACGAGAAAGGGAGCAAUCCCCGGUACAGUGGCGCACGGGUGAGUAACACGUAGAUGACCUUCCCUGGAGUGGUGGAUAACCUGCCGAAAGGCGGGCUAAUACAGCACGGGACCACAUGGUUUUGACCGAGUGGUGAAAGCGGGCCUCUGUUCACAAGCUCGCGCUCUGGGAUGGGUCUGCGUCCCAUCAGCUAGUUGGUGAGGUAAUGGCUCACCAAGGCAUCGACGGGUAGCUGGUCUGAGAGGAUGACCAGCCACACUGGAACUGAGACACGGUCCAGACUCCUACGGGAGGCAGCAGUGGGGAAUCUUGCGCAAUGGGCGAAAGCCUGACGCAGCGACGCCGCGUGGGUGAUGAAGGCC